rnacentral:rRNA from 1 species
CCUACGGGAGGCAGCAGUGAGGAAUAUUGGUCAAUGGGCGAGAGCCUGAACCAGCCAAGUCGCGUGAGGGAGUACUGCCCUAUGGGUUGUAAACCUCUUUUGUCGGGGAGCAAAAGCCGGACGUGUCCGGCUGUGAGAGUACCCGAAGAAAAAGCAUCGGCUAACUCCGUGCCAGCAGCCGCGGUAAUACGGAGGAUGCGAGCGUUAUCCGGAUUUAUUGGGUUUAAAGGGUGCGCAGGCGGAUUUUUAAGUCAGCGGUAAAAUCGUGGGGCUCAACCCCAUCCAGCCGUUGAAACUGGGGAUCUAGAGUGUGCGAGAGGUAUGCGGAAUGCGUGGUGUAGCGGUGAAAUGCAUAGAUAUCACGCAGAACCCCGAUUGCGAAGGCAGCAUACCGGUGCACAACUGACGCUCAGGUACGAAAGCGUGGGUAUCGAACAGGAUUAGAUACCCUUGUAGUC